AUUGAACGCUGGCGGCAGGCCUAACACAUGCAAGUCGAACGAGUGGCGGACGGGUGAGUAAUGUCUGGGAAUCUGCCUGGUGGAGGGGGAUAACUACUGGAAACGGUAGCUAAUACCGCAUACCAUCGGAUGUGCCCAAAUGGGAUUAGCUAGGAGGUGGGGUAAAGGCUCACCUAGGCGACGAUCCCUAGCUGGUCUGAGAGGAUGACCAGCCACACCGGAACUGAGAGACGGUCCCGACUCAUACGGGAGGCAGCAGUGGGGAAUAUUGCACAAUGGGCGCAAGCCUGAUUCAGCCAUGCCGCGUGUAUGAAGAAGGCCUUCGGGUUGUAAAGUACUUUCAUCGGGGAGGCGUUACCCGCAGAAUAAGCACCGGCUAACUCCGUGCCAGCAGCCGCGGUAAUUC
rnacentral:rRNA from 1 species